UACGUAGGGAGCAAGCGUCGUCCGGAAUCAUUGGGCGUAAAGCGCGCGUAGGUGGCCAUGUAAGUCCGCUGUGAAAGUCAAAGGCUAAACCUUUGAAAGCCGGUGGAUACUGCAUGGCUAGAGUACGGAAGAGGCGAGUGGAAUUCCUGGUGUAGCGGUGGAAUGCGCAGAUAUCAGGAGGAACACCAAUAGCGAAGGCAGCUCGCUGGGACGUUACUGACACUGAGGCGCGAAAGCGUGGGGAGCGAACAGG
rnacentral:rRNA from 1 species